UGGUUCGAAAAUUUCGGAUAUCAUUUUGGUAGAUUGAACAGUGAAAGUAGCAUCACUGUUGAGAGAACGGUCGAUUAGUGGCCAAGUUUGAGCACGUGGGCCUAGUAGUACCUCAAGGUGAGGUAGGCGGUUGUGCUCGUGCGGCCGGUGUGCAUAGGCAAGAUUGCCUAAUGCUGGACUUCGUGUGGAACGCUGUAGAGGCGUAGAGCGCUCGAGUGAAG
rnacentral:lncRNA from 1 species